GAUGAACGCUGGCGGCGUGCUUAACACAUGCAAGUCGAACGGGAAACCUUUUAUUGAAGCUUCGGCAGAUUUAGCUGGUUUCUAGUGGCGGACGGGUGAGUAACGCGUGGGUAACCUGCCUUAUACAGGGGGAUAACAACCAGAAAUGGUUGCUAAUACCGCAUAAGCGCACAGGACCGCAUGGUCCGGUGUGAAAAACUCCGGUGGUAUAAGAUGGACCCGCGUUGGAUUAGCUAGUUGGCAGGGUAACGGCCUACCAAGGCGACGAUCCAUAGCCGGCAUGAGAGGGUGAACGGCCACAUUGGGACUGAGACACGGCCCAGACUCCUACGGGAGGCAGCAGUGGGGAAUAUUGCACAAUGGGGGAAACCCUGAUGCAGCGACGACGCGUGAAGGAAGAAGUAUCUCGGUAUGUAAACUUCUAUCAGCAGGGAAGAUAGUGACGGUACCUGACUAAGAAGCCCCGGCUAACUACGUG
rnacentral:rRNA from 1 species